rnacentral:ncRNA from 1 species
CCGGUUUCGCCGGAGAGGGAUGAAAAGGGAAUGCCGUGCGAAUCGGCAACAGUUCCCGCUGCUGUAUGUCCCGGCCUCUGCGGAGACCGACGCUUUCGGGAUUCUUAAGCCACUGUCCGGCUGCGGGCGGGAAGGCCCCGGAAGAGGGACGAGUCAGAAGACCUGCCUUGCGUUC